rnacentral:rRNA from 1 species
AUGUACGAUCAUAAUAGCCCGGCCUUGGAUCUCUUUUUAGAGGAACCUGUCCUGUAAUUGAUAAUCCACGAUAGGAGUUACUUAUUUUUGUUUUCAUUUUGUAUACCUCCGUCAUCAGAGUAUCCUUUUAGGGAUUAAUAUUCUUAAUAUACAAAAUAUUAUAUGUCAGGUCAAGGUGCAAUUUAUAAAUAAGUAGAGAUGGGUUACAAUAAAUUUAUUUAAACGGAUUAUUAAUUUUAAUUUUAAUAUGAAGGUGGAUUUAAAAGUAAAAUUAUUUUAUUCAUUAAUUUGAUUAUAGCUCUAAAAUAUGCACACAUCGCCCGUCGCUCUUAUUUUAAAAUAAGAUAAGUCGUAACAUAGUAGGUGUACCGGAAGGUGCUCCU